AUUGUUAUUGUUUUUUUAUUUUAGUCAUACUAGUAGGUAUAAAGUAGUAUUUCAUUGUGGUUUUGAUUUAUAUUUCCUUGAUGACUAGUAAUUUUGAGCAUCUCUUCAUGAACUUAUUGACCAUUUGGAUAUCUUCUUUGAAGAAAUGUCCACAUCCUUUGUCCAUUUUACAAUUGAGUGAUUCAUCUUUUUGUUGAGUUUUAUUUUUUUAUUUUUAUUUUAUUUUAUUUUAUUUUAUUUGUCUUUUUAGGGCCACAUCUGCAGUGUAUGGAAAUUCCCAGGCUAGGGGUAUAAUCAGAGCUAUAGCUCCUGGCCUAUGCCACAGCCAUAGCAAUGUGGGAUCCAAGACGUAUCUGUGACCUACACCACAACUCAUGGCAACACCGGAUGCUUAACCCACUGAGUGAAGCCAGGGAUCAAACCCACAUCCUCAUGGAUACUAGCUGGGUUCAUUUCCACUGAGCCAUGACAGUUUAGUUUUAAGAGUUUUUUGUCUUUUCUGGACAUGAGUCCCUUAUUUGAUGUAUGAUUUGCAGAUAUUUUCUCCUAUGGGUUGUCUUUUCAAGUUCUUGGCAAUAUCCUUUAAAGCACUGAAGUUUUAAAUUCUGAUGAAAUCUGUUUUACCAAUUUUUUCUUUUGUCACUUGUGCCUUUGGUAUCAUAUCUAAGAAAUUUGGAUAGUACAAGGUGACAAAAAUUUACAUCUAUGUUUUCUAAGAGUUUAUAGUUUUAGCUCUUACAUUUAGGUCUUUGAUCCAUUUUGAGUUAAUUUUUGUAUAUAGUGUGAUGUAGAGGGUCCAACUUUAUUAUUUUGCACAUGGAUGUCCAGUUGUCCCAGCACCAUUUACUGGAAGGAGUGUUACCCCAUUAAAUUGUCAUGAUACAGUGAUUAAAAAUCAGUGUAAUGGUCUGUUUACUCUCAGUAUUAUUCCAUUGAUCUAUGUGUCUAUCUUUAUGCCAUACUACAGUAUCUUGAUUAUUCUAGUUUUGAGGUAAGUUUUCAAAUGGGGAGUAAAGUAUGAAUUCUUCAGUCUUGCUCUUCUUUUUCAAGAUUAUUUUAGUUGCUCCACAUGUUUUGUAUUCUCAUAUGAAUUUUAGGAUAAGAGUGUCAAUUUCUAUAAAGAUGUCAGUUGAGAUUUUUUUUUUUAGGGCUGCACCUGUAGCAUAUGGAAGUUCCCAGGCUAGGGGUCGAAUUGGAGCUAUAGCUGCCAGACACAGCCACAGCCACAGUAGCUGCAUCUGCGGCCUACACCACAGCUCGUGGCAACACCAGAUCCUUAACCCACUGAGCAGGGCGAGGGAUUGAACCUGCGUCCUGAUGGAUGCUAGUCAGAUUUGUUUCCGCUGAGCCAUUACAGCAAGUCCAUUACAAAAUCAGCUGAGAUUUUGAUAGAGAUUGUGUUAAAGAUCAAUUUGGGGAAUAUGGCUACCUUAACAAAAUUAUCAGGUGUGCCAAUCCAUGAACAUGGGGUAUCUGUCCAUUUACUUAAGUUUUUGAUUUCUUUCAAUAAUAGUUUAUGUUUUUUUAGUGUAGAAAUCUUGGGUCCUUUUGGUUAAUUUUUUUUUUGUAAAUAUUCUUUCUGAGGCUAUUGUAAACAGAAUUUCCUUAUUUCAUUUCAGGAUUACUCAUUGCCAGUGUAUAGAAAUAUAGUUCAUUUUUGAACAUAUAUUUAUAUCUUACAACCUUGCUUUAUAAAUCUAAUAGAUUUUUUAAAAAAAAGUUCUUUAGGAUUUUCUAUGGAUAAGAACCUGUCAUAUGGAGUUCGCAUUGUGGUGCAGUGGAAACGAAUCCAAAUAGUAAUCAUGAGGUUGCUGGUUUGAUACCUGACCUCGAUCAGUGGGUUAAGGAUCUGGUGUUGCCAUGAGCUGUGGCAUAGGUCAAAGACAUGGCUCGAAUCCUGUGUUGCUUGGCUGUGGUGAAGGACGGCAGCUAUAGCUCUGAUUGGACCCCUAGCCUGGGAACCUCAAAAGACAAAUGUCAUUUGAGUUCUCUUGUGGCCCGGCAGGUUAAGGAUCUGAUGGUGUCACUGCAGUGGCUCAGGUCUCUGCUGUGACACAUGUUUAAUCCCUGGCCUGGGACCUUCCACAUGGUGUAGGUGUGGUCAAAGUAUAUAUAUUUGUGAAUAGAGAUAGUUUUAUCUUUUUCUGCCCUAUCUGUACACCUUUUAUUUCUUUUUCUUCCUAAUUGCUCUGGCUAGAACCUCUGAGACAGUGUUGAGUGGAAGUAUAAGAGCAGACAUCACUGUCUUUUCUUCUUUGAGAAGAAGACAUUCCGUCUUUCAUCGUAUAGUACGAUUUUAGCCGUGGUUCCCGGAUGUUCUUUAUCAGGUUGAGGAAGCUUCUUUCUAUUCUGAGUGUGUUGGGUUUUUUAUUUAAAAAAAAUUUUUUUUUGGGGGGUGCACCUGUGGGAUAUGGAGGUUCCCAGGCUAGGGGUCAGUUUGAAGCUAUAGCUGCUGGCCUACAUCACAGCCGCAGCAACGCCAGAUCCGAACCAUGUCUGCGACCCACACCUCAGCUCACGAUAAGGCCAGAUCCUUAACCCACUGAGCAAGGCCAGGGAUUGAACCUGCAGCCUCAUGGCUCCUAGUUCAGAUUCGUUUCCGCUGCGCCACAAUGGGAACUCCCGGGUUUGUUUUUUCUUUUAAUCAAAAGAAGUGUUUGGGAGUCCCUGGUGGCCCUAGUGGUUAAGAAUCUGUUGUCACUGCUGUGGCUCAGUUUCGAUCCCUGGCCUGGGAACUUCCAUGUGCUGUGGGCAAGGCCAAUAAAUAAAUAAAUAAAACGUGCGCGCGCGCGCGCACACACACACACAAAGAAGUGUUGGAUUUUGUUAGUUUUUUUUUCCUAAAUUUGAGAUGACCAUGUAUUUUUAUUUCUUUUAUUCUAUUAAUAUAGUGUAUUAUAUUGAUUAAUUUUCAGAUGUUAAACCAACUUUAUAUGCCUAGGAUAAAUCUAAUGUGGUCAUGGUAUAUAAUGCUGUUUGUAUGUUACUAGACUUGGUUUACAGUAUUUUUUUUGAAUACUGGUAUGUAGUUUUCCUUUUUAUUUUGAUGUUUUUGUUUGGUAUUAGUAUCAGGAUAAUACUAACCUUUUAGAAUGAUUUGAGAAUUUUUGCUUAUGCUUCUUUAAAAGAGUCUGAAGGAUUGGUAUUAAUUCUCCUUCAAACAUUUAGUAGAAUACAUCUAGGCCUAUGUUUUUCUUUGUGGGCAGUUUUUAAAUUGCUAAUUUAAUGUCAUAUUUUUGUUAGGACCCAUUAUCAGUGAAUAUUCAUCUUGUAAAAAUACCUAUUGAUAUUUGAUUAUUCAGCCACCUUUCUCCUGUAUAAUAUCUGAAUAGAAAGAGAUUUUGAUAUACCUACUUAAACCUUUUUUCUUCUGUUAAAGGUCUAUAAUUACUCUGGAAUCAGCAAGCCAUGGCAUCAAAGAAAUUUGCUGUUAAAGUAAGUAAUGCUUAAUAAUCUUUUUUAAAAUGGUUAAUCACUUUCUAAUAUAACUGUGUUGUAUAUUAAUUAAAAAUUGAAGCCCUGUACUUUUCUACUCUUUAAGAAACUCUUUACUUAAAGUAGGUGAUUGAAAAUUUGCAUAUUAAUGUAGUUCCUGUCGUGGUGUAGCGGAAAGGAAUCGGACCAGGAACCAUGAGGUUCAAUCCCUGGCCUCGCUCGUUGGGUCAAGGAUCUGGCAUUGCCGUGAGCUGUGGUGUAGGUCGAAGACAUGGCUCGGUCUGGUGUUGCUGUGGCAUAGGCCAGCGGCUACAGCUCUGAUUAGACCCCUAGU
ensembl:lncRNA